rnacentral:rRNA from 1 species
GCCAGCAGCCAUGUCACCCUGCAACUUACAAUUGGCAACCCACUGAAGCUAAGCAGACUAAGUGAGCCUGGUCAGUACCUGGAUGGGAGACCUCCUGGGAAAAACUAAGGUUGCUGCUGGAA